CAAGACCAAGGGCCUCUCCUCCAAUGAUGGCUGACUAGGCCACCUUCUGCUACAUAUGCAGCUCAGGGGGUACUAGUUAGUUCAUAUUGCUGUUCCUCCUAUAGGGUUACAGACUCCUUCAGCUCUUUGGGUACUUUCUCUAGCUCCUCCAUUUGGGGGCCCUGUGUUCCAUCCAAUAGCUGACUCUGAGCAUCUACUUCUGUAUUUGCCAGCCACUGUCAUAGCCUUACAAGAGUCAGCUAUAUCAGGGUCCUGUCGGCAAAAUCUUGCUGGCAUAUGCAACUGUGUCUGCAUUUGAUGGUUGAUUAUGGUAUGGAUCCCUGGAUGGGGCAGUCUCUGCAUGAUCGUUCCUCCCGUCUCAUCUCCAAACUUAGUCUCUGUAACUCCUUACAUGGGUAUUUGGUUCCCCAUUCUAAGGAGGGACCCCUUUUAUUCUUAUUUACUUAUUUUAUGUGUAUGGGUGUCUUACCUGCAUGUGUAUAUGUUCACCAAGUGCAUGCUUGGUGCCUGAAGAGGUUAGAAGAGGGCAUCAGAUCCCCUAGAAGUAGAGUGACAUUUGGUUGUGAGCCACCAUGUGAAUGCUGGGACUCAAACGAGAGUCCUCUAUGAGAGCGACAGGGCUCUUAACCACUGCGCCAUCUCCCUCAUCCCAUGUCUAUCUCCUUUAAAGAAUCUUAGGGUCCAUUUGUAAAUGGAUAAUAUAAGACUUUAGGACUGGAAGUAUAGACAUAUAUAGGAACACAUAAUAUAGAAACUACUGAAAUCUGUGAGGCAUAAUUAAAUUUAUACUAAUAGGAUUUUUUUCCAGGCCUGAAAUUAAGAUAGCCUGCCACACUGAUAAUUCUGAAGAUUUAACAUAAAGGUUGUGUGAACUUGAGGGAGAGCAUUCUGAGCUUGAGGCAGCAUGUAACUUUUUAUACCCUACUUUAAGCUUCUAAUUAGCAAAUUUGAAUCCUUGGUUAAACUAACAGCAGAGUAGGAGAGAAGUUCCCUCUAGUAUAGGACAUACAAGAAAAGGAACAACAUGGCCAGAGGAGCUGGAGCGCAUGGAUGAGGCUUUUAGUCCAGCCAGGGAAAUUUUCCCUUAACUAGAAGCUUUACCCUUAAGAUGAAUUUUUAUAAAAUUGCAGGAUUAGAUUAUACUGCAUAAUAUGUAAAAAACCAACCAUACAUGGCUAGGAUGAAAAUGUGGCCAGGAGAAGAGCUAAAGUUCCCUAGGGAAAGCCAAAGGACCAGCGGAGCAAAAGGGGGGUCUUUGUCCUGUGGCCACCACAGGUAUGCUGAGCCUCUGAGGUCCAGUGUGCUGGGAGAGACAGGCACAUACACAGGCUGUAAUAUGCUGUUAAAACUGCACUGCACAAAUAGCUCGCUAUCAGCCUGGAGAGUACAUUUUAUAGAGAAGAUGACAUCUGAACUGCUCUUUUUUGGGUUUUGGUUUUGGUUUCAAGACAGACUUUUCUCUGUGUAACAACAGCCCUAGCUUUCCUAGAACUCACUUUGUAGACCAAUCCGGCUUGGAACUCAUGAGAUCCACCUCCUCUGCCUCUCAAUUGCUGGAAUGAAAGGCUUGCACUACCACGCCCAGCUUGAGCUGGUUUUUAAAUGGAUAUUUACCAGAAAGAAGAAAGGAAAGACAUCUCUGGGCAGAAAAAAAGAGAGCAGGCAAAGGCCAGAAGUCCAGUGCAUUAUAUGUUACGGCUUUCAGUGCAAAGUUAUGAAUGCAGUUUUAGAAUGUUGAGCUAUACCUGAAGGCAGCACACUGCUCUAUCUCCAGUAGAGGGAGAGAAGUAAGGCUUGGGGAUAUUUAAGUUCAUCUGUGUCAUGCAGUAUGAAUCAGCACAGAGUAGGUACCCAAAACAGGAAUUCUAAGUCUUAUGUCCUGAGUAAGUCUGUGUCAUAGUGAUAGACUGCCAUAGAGUCAUCAGGAUUGGGGGUUAUUUUACUUCCUCGGAACUAAAUUCUACUCCUAAAGGUGGUUUCCCAUUGUUUGCCUGCCAGUCUGUGGCCUGUCUGUACUGCUUGGUUGUCAUGCCUUGAAAUUUGAGGACUGUCUGCUCACUGCCCAGUGAAAGGAUGCCAAAUCUGCC
rnacentral:lncRNA from 1 species